rnacentral:rRNA from 2 species
CAUGGGCAGGUUGAAGGUUGGGUAACACUAACUGGAGGACCGAACCGACUAAUGUUGAAAAAUUAGCGGAUGACCUGUGGCUGGGGGUGAAAGGCCAAUCAAACCGGGAGAUAGCUGGUUCUCCCCGAAAGCUAUUUAGGUAGCGCCUCGUGAAUUCAUCUCCGGGGGUAGAGCACUGUUUCGGCUAGGGGGCCAUCCCGGCUUACCAACCCGAUGCAAACUGCGAAUACCGGAGAAUGUUAUCACGGGAGACACACGGCGGGUGCUAACGUCCGUCGUGAAGAGGGAAACAACCCAGACCGCCAGCUAAGGUCCCAAAGUCAUGGUUAAGUGGGAAACGAUGUGGGAAGGCCCAGACAGCCAGGAUGUUGGCUUAGAAGCAGCCAUCAUUUAAAGAAAGCGUAAUAGCUCACUGGUCGAGUCGGCCUGCGCGGAAGAUGUAACGGGGCUAAACCAU